rnacentral:rRNA from 1 species
AUGAGUCUCAUCUGCUGGAACUGUCACGGCCUGGGGUCGGACGCGACAGUUGGCGAGCUUCGCUGGCUUGUGAAGCUUUACCGACCCUCCCUCCUCUUUCUGUCAGAAACUAAGAUGAGGGAUUCGAGAGUGAAGAAUUUUAUGUGGUCUCUGGGCUUCUCUGGUUGUUUUGCGGUCAGCAGUGAUGGUCUCAGCGGGGGUAUGGCUCUUUUUUGGACCUCUAAU